GACUCGGUGGCGAAACGGUAUCGCAUCUGCCCAAUAUCGUCAUAAGGACGCACAAUGCGUGUUGGCAGGAGGAUCCCAGUUCGAAUCUGGGCCGAGUCG
rnacentral:tRNA from 1 species